GGCAGGAUGGCCGAGCGGUUAAGGCGUUAGAUUAGAAAUCUAAUCCCUUCGGGGUCCAGAGUUCGAAUCUCUGUCCUGUCG
rfam:TPA: Aspergillus nidulans FGSC A4 chromosome VII